CCUACGGGUGGCAGCAGUGGGGAAUAUUGCACAAUGGGGGAAACCCUGAUGCAGCGACGCCGCGUGAGUGAAGAAGGAUUUCGGAAUGUAAAGCUCUGUCAGCAGGGAAGAAAAUGACGGUACCUGACUAAGAAGCCACGGCUAAAUACGUGCCAGCAGCCGCGGGAAUACGUAGGGGGCAAGCGUUAUCCAGAUUUACGGGGUGGAAAGGGAGCGGAGACGGGAAGUCAAGUCAGGAGUGAAAGCCCAGGGCUAAACCCGGGGACUGCGUUUGAAACUGGCGGGCUGGAGUGCAGGAGAGGUAAGCGGAAUUCCUAGUGUAGCGGUGAAAUGCGUAGAUAUUAGGAGGAACAUCAGUGGCGAAGGCGGCUGACUGGACCGUAACUGACGUUGAGGCGCGAAAGCGUGGGGAGCAAACAGGAUUAGAUACCCCUGUAGUC
rnacentral:rRNA from 1 species